rnacentral:pre_miRNA from 1 species
CACUUACUCCCUCCGUCCCAUAUUAAGUGACUUUCUAUUACAUGUAUCUAGAGGCUUUUUAGCCAUAGAUACAUUCAUAUUUGGACAAAUUUGUGUCGGUUGAUAUGGGACGGAGGGAGUAUAUG